rnacentral:rRNA from 1 species
AAACUUUCAACAACGGAUCUCUUGGUUCUCGCAUCGAUGAAGAGCGCAGCGAAAUGCGAUACCUAGUGUGAAUUGCAGCCAUCGUGAAUCAUCGAGUUCUUGAACGCACAUUGCGCCCCCUGGUAUUCCGGGGGGCAUGCCUGUCCGAGCGUCAUUG